UACGUAGGGGGCUAGCGUUGUCCGGAUUUAUUGGGCGUAAAGAGCGUGUAGGCGGCUUUACAGGUCCGUUGUGAAAACUCGAGGCUCAACCUCGAGACGCCGGUGGAAACCGUAAAGCUAGAGUCCGGAAGAGGAGAGUGGAAUUCCUGGUGUAGCGGUGAAAUGCGCAGAUAUCAGGAGGAACAUCCGUGGCGAAGGCGGCUCUCUGGGACGGUACUGACGCUGAGACGCGAAAGCGUGGGGAGCAAACAGG
rnacentral:rRNA from 1 species